UCCAGACUCCUACGGGAGGCAGCAGUGGGGAAUAUUGGGCAAUGGGCGCAAGCCUGACCCAGCAACGCCGCGUGAAGGAAGAAGGCUUUCGGGUUGUAAACUUCUUUUGUCAGGGACGAAGCAAGUGACGGUACCUGACGAAUAAGCCACGGCUAACUACGUGCCAGCAGCCGCGGUAAUACGUAGGUGGCAAGCGUUAUCCGGAUUUAUUGGGUGUAAAGGGUGCGUAGGCGGACAGUCAAGUCAGCGGUAAAAAUGCGGUGCUCAACGCCGUACAGCCGUUGAAACUGGCAGUCUUGAGUGGGCGAGAAGUAUGCGGAAUGCGUGGUGUAGCGGUGAAAUGCAUAGAUAUCACGCAGAACUCCGAUUGCGAAGGCAGCAUACCGGCGCCCGACUGACGCUGAGGCACGAAAGCGUGGGUAUCGAACAGGAUUAGAUACCCGAGUAC
rnacentral:rRNA from 1 species